rnacentral:rRNA from 1 species
GGUCAAGCGAACAAGUGCAUGUGGUGGAUGCCUUGGCGAUCACAGGCGAUGAAGGACGCGGUAGCCUGCGAAAAGCCCCGGGGAGCUGGCAAACAAGCUUUGAUCCGGGGAUGUCCGAAUGGGGAAACCCACUCCGUAUGGAGUAUCCAUAGCUGAAUACAUAGGCUAUGUGAAGCGAACGCGGUGAACUGAAACAUCUAAGUAACCGCAGGAAAAGAAAUCAACCGAGAUUCCCAAAGUAGUGGCGAGCGAAAUGGGAUGAGCCUUGUACUCUUUAUUUGUAUUGUUAGCCGAACGCUCUGGAAAGUGCGGCCAUAGCAGGUGAUAGCCCUGUAGGCGAAAACAGUAUGAAAGAACUAGGUGUACGACAAGUAGGGCGGGACACGUGAAAUCCUGUCUGAAGAUGGGGGGACCAUCCUCCAAGGCUAAAUACUCGUGAUCGACCGAUAGUGAACCAGUACCGUGAGGGAAAGGCGAAAAGAACCCCGGGAGGGGAGUGAAAUAGAUCCUGAAACCGCAUGCAUACAAACAGUCGGAGCCUCGUAAGGGGUGACGGCGUACCUUUUGUAUAAUGGGUCAGCGACUUACGUUCAGUAGCAAGCUUAACCGUAUAGGGCAGGCGUAGCGAAAGCGAGUCCGAAUAGGGCGUUCAGUUGCUGGGCGUAGACCCGAAACCAGGUGAUCUAUCCAUGGCCAGGAUGAAGGUGCGGUAACACGUACUGGAGGUCCGAACCCACUAACGUUGAAAAGUUAGGGGAUGAGCUGUGGAUAGGGGUGAAAGGCUAAACAAACCUGGAAAUAGCUGGUUCUCUCCGAAAACUAUUUAGGUAGUGCCUCGUGUCUCACCUUCGGGGGUAGAGCACUGUCAUGGUUGGGGGGUCUAUUGCAGAUUACCCCGCCAUAGCAAACUCCGAAUACCGAAGAGUGCAAUCACGGGAGACAGACAUCGGGUGCUAACGUCCGGUGUCAAGAGGGAAACAACCCAGACCGCCAGCUAAGGUCCCCAAAUAUGGCUAAGUGGGAAACGAAGUGGGAAGGCUAAAACAGUCAGGAGGUUGGCUUAGAAGCAGCCACCCUUUAAAGAAAGCGUAAUAGCUCACUGAUCGAGUCGUCCUGCGCGGAAGAUGUAACGGGGCUAAGCCAUAUACCGAAGCUGCGGAUGCGUGCUUGCACGCAUGGUAGGAGAGCGUUCCGUAAGCCUGCGAAGGUGCCUUGUAAAGGGUGCUGGAGGUAUCGGAAGUGCGAAUGCUGACAUGAGUAGCGAUAAAGGGGGUGAAAGGCCCCCUCGCCGUAAGCCCAAGGUUUCCUACGCAACGUUCAUCGGCGUAGGGUGAGUCGGCCCCUAAGGCGAGGCAGAAAUGCGUAGCUGAUGGGAAGCAGGUCAAUAUUCCUGCACCGUCGUUAGAUGCGAUGGGGGGACGGAUCGCGGAAGGUUGUCCGGGUGUUGGACGUCCCGGUCGCUGCAUUGGAGAAGGCGCUUAGGCAAAUCCGGGCGCGCAAUUCAAGGGUGUGGCGCGAGCGACUUCGGUCGCGAAGCAAUUGGAAGUGGUUCCAAGAAAAGCCUCUAAGCUUCAGUCUAACGAUGACCGUACCGCAAACCGACACAGGUGGGCGAGAUGAGUAUUCUAAGGCGCUUGAGAGAACUCGGGAGAAGGAACUCGGCAAAUUGGUACCGUAACUUCGGGAUAAGGUACGCCCUUGUAGCUUGACUGGCCUGCGCCAGGAGGGUGAAGGGGUUGCAAUAAACUGGUGGCUGCGACUGUUUAAUAAAAACACAGCACUCUGCAAACACGAAAGUGGACGUAUAGGGUGUGACGCCUGCCCGGUGCCGGAAGAUUAAAUGAUGGGGUGCAAGCUCUUGAUUGAAGUCCCGGUAAACGGCGGCCGUAACUAUAACGGUCCUAAGGUAGCGAAAUUCCUUGUCGGGUAAGUUCCGACCUGCACGAAUGGCGUAACGAUGGCCACACUGUCUCCUCCCGAGACUCAGCGAAGUUGAAGUGUUUGUGAUGAUGCAAUCUACCCGCGGCUAGACGGAAAGACCCCAUGAACCUUUACUGUAGCUUUGCAUUGGACUUUGAACCGAUCUGUGUAGGAUAGGUGGGAGGCUAUGAAACCGGAACGCUAGUUUCGGUGGAGCCGUCCUUGAAAUACCACCCUGGUUUGUUUGAGGUUCUAACCUUGGUCCGUGAUCCGGAUCGGGGACAGUGCAUGGUAGGCAGUUUGACUGGGGCGGUCUCCUCCCAAAGGGUAACGGAGGAGUACGAAGGUACGCUAGGUACGGUCGGAAAUCGUGCUGAUAGUGCAAUGGCAUAAGCGUGCUUAACUGCGAGACCGACAAGUCGAGCAGGUGCGAAAGCAGGUCAUAGUGAUCCGGUGGUUCUGUAUGGAAGGGCCAUCGCUCAACGGAUAAAAGGUACUCUGGGGAUAACAGGCUGAUACCGCCCAAGAGUUCAUAUCGACGGCGGUGUUUGGCACCUCGAUGUCGGCUCAUCUCAUCCUGGGGCUGUAGCCGGUCCCAAGGGUAUGGCUGUUCGCCAUUUAAAGAGGUACGUGAGCUGGGUUUAAAACGUCGUGAGACAGUUUGGUCCCUAUCUGCCGUGGGCGUUGGAUAUUUGAAGGGGGCUGCUCCUAGUACGAGAGGACCGGAGUGGACGAACCUCUGGUGUACCGGUUGUGACGCCAGUCGCAUCGCCGGGUAGCUAUGUUCGGAAGAGAUAACCGCUGAAAGCAUCUAAGCGGGAAACUCGCCUUAAGAUGAGAUAUCCCUGGAGGCUUGACCUCCUUGAAGGGUCGUUCGAGACCAGGACGUUGAUAGGUCGGGUGUGUAAGCGCAGUAAUGCGUUCAGCUAACCGAUACUAAUUGCCCGUAAGGCUUGAUCCU